GCGGCCUAUCAGCUUGUUGGUGGGGUAAUGGCCUACCAAGGCAACGACGGGUAGCUGGUCUGAGAGGAUGAUCAGCCACACUGGGACUGAGACACGGCCCAGACUCCUACGGGAGGCAGCAGUGGGGAAUCUUGCGCAAUAGGCGAAAGCCUGACGCAGCAACGCCGCGUGCGGGAUGAAGGCCUUCGGGUUGUAAACCGCUUUCAGCAGGAACGAAAAUGACGGUACCUGCAGAAGAAGGAGCGGCCAACUACGUGCCAGCAGCCGCGGUGACACGUAGGCUCCAAGCGUUGUCCGGAUUUAUUGGGCGUAAAGAGCUCGUAGGCGGUUUAGUAAGUCGGGUGUUAAAACUCUGGGCUCAACCCGGAGACGCCAUCCGAUACUACUAUGACUUGAGUUCAGGAGGGGAGACUGGAAUUCCU
rnacentral:rRNA from 1 species